GUACACUCCUACGGGAGGCAGCAGUGGGGAAUUUUGGACAAUGGGCGAAAGCCUGAUCCAGCAAUGCCGCGUGAGUGAAGAAGGCCUUCGGGUUGUAAAGCUCUUUUGUCAGGGAAGAAACGGUGAAAGCUAAUAUCUUUUGCUAAUGACGGUACCUGAAGAAUAAGCACCGGCUAACUACGUGCCAGCAGCCGCGGUAAUACGUAGGGUGCAAGCGUUAAUCGGAAUUACUGGGCGUAAAGCGUGCGCAGGCGGUUUUGUAAGUCUGAUGUGAAAUCCCCGGGCUCAACCUGGGAAUUGCAUUGGAGACUGCAAGGCUAGAAUCUGGCAGAGGGGGGUAGAAUUCCACGUGUAGCAGUGAAAUGCGUAGAUAUGUGGAGGAACACCGAUGGCGAAGGCAGCCCCCUGGGUCAAGAUUGACGCUCAUGCACGAAAGCGUGGGGAGCAAACAGGAUUAGAUACCCGGGUAGUCCCAUGA
rnacentral:rRNA from 1 species